rnacentral:rRNA from 1 species
GAACGCUGGCGGCGUGCCUAAUACAUGCAAGUAGAAACGCUGAAGCUUGGUGCUUGCACCGAGCGGAUGAGUUGCGAACCGGGUGAGUAACGCGUAGGUAACCUGCCUGGUAGCGGGGGAUAACUAUUGGAAACGAUAGCUAAUACCGCAUAAUAGCAGUUGUUGCAUGACAACUGUUUAAAAGGUGCAAUUGCAUCACUACCAGAUGGACCUGCGUUGUAUUAGCUAGUUGGUGGGGUAACGGCUCACCAAGGCGACGAUACAUAGCCGACCUGAGAGGGUGAUCGGCCACACUGGGACUGAGACACGGCCCAGACUCCUACGGGAGGCAGCAGUAGGGAAUCUUCGGCAAUGGACGGAAGUCUGACCGAGCAACGCCGCGUGAGUGAAGAAGGCUUUCGGAUCGUAAAGCUCUGUUGUAAGAGAAGAACGAGUGUGAGAGUGUUCCCUUCCA